UCACAGCUGUGUCUCGUGCUUCUUCUCGCUGGCCAGGAACUCUCAUCUCCUCCGGAAGCUCCUGCUCACCACCACUCGGGGGGCACAAAGGAUACCGAGGUCAAAGAGACCAAGAAGACAGAAUAAUAACCAUACUUCUAAUUACUUGACUUCUACUAACUGGCCUUCCCCUAGAAAGCAACUUGG
rnacentral:lncRNA from 1 species